GCCAAGACAUUAUAGGUUUCAGAACUACCAAAAGUUCACAAUGCUAUGUUGAUAGGCUCAUGAACUAGGAUGGUCUGAGGC
rnacentral:snoRNA from 1 species